GACGAACGCUGGCGGCAGGCUUAACACAUGCAAGUCGAGCGAGCGGCGGACGGGUGAGCAAUGUCUGGGAAACUGCCUGAUGGAGGGGGAUAACUACUGGAAACGGUAGCUAAUACCGCAUACCAUCAGAUGGGCCCAGAUGGGAUUAGCUAGUAGGUGGGGUAAUGGCUCACCUAGGCGACGAUCCCUAGCUGGUCUGAGAGGAUGACCAGCCACACUGGAACUGAGACACGGUCCAGACUCCUACGGGAGGCAGCAGUGGGGAAUAUUGCGCAAGGGGCGAAAGCCUGAUGCAGCCAUGCCGCGUGUGUGAAGAAGGUCUUCGGGUUGUAAAGCACUUUCAGCGGGGAGGCGGUACUCGCAGAAGAAGCACCGGCUAACUCCGUGCCAGCAGCCGCGGUAAUUC
rnacentral:rRNA from 1 species